rfam:Bacteroidetes bacterium 46-16 SCNpilot_cont_1000_p_scaffold_479, whole genome shotgun sequence.
AGGCAGUGGAGCAGCGACCACUUGAAAAAACGGGCCACCCCGAAAAGCCAUAUGAGUAGGACCAAA